GACGAACGCUGGCGGUGUGCUUAACACAUGCAAGUCGAACGGUAAGGCCCUUUCGGGGGUACGCGAGUGGCGAACGGGUGAGUAACACGUGAGUAACCUGCCCUCAUCUCUGGGAUAACAGUCGGAAACGGUUGCUAAUACUGGAUAUGAGCUUGCAAGGCAUCUUGUGGGUUGGAAAGAUUUUUUUUGGUUGGGGAUGGACUCGCGGCCUAUCAGCUUGUUGGUGAGGUAGUGGCUCACCAAGGCUUCGACGGGUAGCCGGCCUGAGAGGGCGACCGGCCACAUUGGGACUGAGAUACGGCCCAAACUCCUACGGGAGGCAGCAGUGGGGAAUAUUGCACAAUGGACGGAAGUCUGAUGCAGCAACGCCGCGUGCGGGAUGACGGCCUUCGGGUUGUAAACCGCUUUCAAUUGUGACGAAGCUUUUUUGUGACGGUAGCAGUAGAAGAAGCACCGGCUAACUACGUG
rnacentral:rRNA from 1 species